CGGGAGGCAGCAGUGGGGAAUAUUGCACAAUGGGCGCAAGCCUGAUGCAGCCAUGCCGCGUGUGUGAAGAAGGCCUUCGGGUUGUAAAGCACUUUCAGUCGUGAGGAAGGUAGUGUAGUUAAUAGCUGCAUUAUUUGACGUUAGCGACAGAAGAAGCACCGGCUAACUCCGUGCCAGCAGCCGCGGUAAUACGGAGGGUGCGAGCGUUAAUCGGAAUUACUGGGCGUAAAGCGCAUGCAGGUGGUUUGUUAAGUCAGAUGUGAAAGCCCGGGGCUCAACCUCGGAAUUGCAUUUGAAACUGGCAGACUAGAGUACUGUAGAGGGGGGUAGAAUUUCAGGUGUAGCGGUGAAAUGCGUAGAGAUCUGAAGGAAUACCGGUGGCGAAGGCGGCCCCCUGGACAGAUACUGACACUC
rnacentral:rRNA from 1 species